rnacentral:ribozyme from 1 species
AGAAUUAGAACGUCAAAAUAGUACGACUAAUCGUCAACACUUGUUUUAGAUCUCGAGCGUCUGCUUUUCUCUGUUCAACCUUUUUUUUUUUUUUUAUCUGUUUCAUAAUCCUAAACUUAAUUAGCAUAACAGGAGG